rnacentral:rRNA from 1 species
UACGUAGGGUGCAAGCGUUAAUCGGAAUUACUGGGCGUAAAGCGUGCGCAGGCGGUUUUGUAAGUCUGACGUGAAAUCCCCGGGCUCAACCUGGGAAUUGCGUUGGAGACUGCAAGGCUAGAAUCUGGCAGAGGGGGGUAGAAUUCCACGUGUAGCAGUGAAGUGCGUAGAGAUGUGGAGGAACACCGAUGGCGAAGGCAGCCCCCUGGGUCAAGAUUGACGCUCAUGCACGAAAGCGUGGGGAGCAAACAGG